GACGAUGACGACGACGAGAGCGAGUCGUGCGCCAGCCCCGCGCCCCGGCCCUGGACCCGCACCGCGUACGACCUGGCCACCCAGUGCGAGUCGCGGCGCGCGGCCCACCGCCGACACUCGCUCGCACACGCCGCGCCCGCCUCGCCCCGCGCGCCCCGCUCGCUGCCGCACUCCAGGGCUGCCUCUCGCGCGUCAUGCGGCGGGGACGGGACCGGCGUGGGAGCCCCCGAGCUGUCGUGGUCGCGGUCCUCGCUGACGGACGAGCUGGAGCGCUCGGGCAGCGCCUCCCCGCUCUCGACCCUGGCCGCGCCGCAUAAGCUGUGGCAGGAGGCGAUGGCGAGAUCUGCGGAGGAGCGGCUGUCGCUGACCCUGGACGAGAUCGUGCACAUACGGUCUGUGCUCACCAAGGCGGAGCUCGAGGUGCUGCCUGUGGAGGGCCGCGUCAAGGAAGACGUGGAGAAGAGACGGGUCUGCUUCCUGUGCCUGAAGACUCGGUUUGGAAUAUUCGGCCCUUGGGGCCAGAAAUGUAAGCUGUGCAAACGGACCGUCUGUCAGAAAUGUUGUUCCAAGAUGCGUAUCCCGACGGAACACUUCGCGCACGUGCCGGUGGUGUUGCUGAGUCCCUCGCUGCUACCCUCUCCGGACGAGGGCGACUCCUUCCCGCGCUCACUCAUGGCACGCCUCGUCUCCAGCACCCCCGACUACCACGCGGGCGCGCCCGACAACAGCGUGGGCAGCGCGCCCAGCAGCCCGGCGGC